UACGGGGGGGGCAAGCGUUGUUCGGAAUUACUGGGCGUAAAGGGCCAGUAGGCGGCCAACUAAGUCCGACGUGAAAUCCCAAGGCUUAACCUUGGAACUGCGUCGGAUACUGGAUGGCUUGAAUUCGGGAGAGGGAUGCAGAAUUCCUGGUGUAGCGGUGAAAUGCGCAGAUAUCAGGAAGAACACCCGUGGCGAAGGCGGCUCUCUGGGACGGUACUGACGCUGAGACGCGAAAGCGUGGGGAGCGAACAGG
rnacentral:rRNA from 1 species